AAACCAACAGGGAUUGCCUUAGUAGCGGCGAGUGAAGCGGCAAAAGCUCAAAUUUGAAAUCUGGCUCUUUCAGAGUCCGAGUUGUAAUUUGAAGAAGGUAUCUUUGGGUCUGGCUCUUGUCUAUGUUUCUUGGAACAGAACGUCACAGAGGGUGAGAAUCCCGUGCGAUGAGAUGAUCCAGGCCUAUGUAAAGUUCCUUCGAAGAGUCGAGUUGUUUGGGAAUGCAGCUCUAAGUGGGUGGUAAAUUCCAUCUAAAGCUAAAUAUUGGCGAGAGACCGAUAGCGAACAAGUACAGUGAUGGAAAGAUGAAAAGAACUUUGAAAAGAGAGUGAAAAAGUACGUGAAAUUGUUGAAAGGGAAGGGCUUGAGAUCAGACUUGGUAUUUUGUAUGUUACUUCUUCGGGGGUGGCCUCUACAGUUUAUCGGGCCAGCAUCAGUUUGGGCGGUAGGAGAAUUGCGUUGGAAUGUGGCACGGCUUCGGUUGUGUGUUAUAGCCUUCGUCGAUACUGCCAGCCUAGACUGAGGACUGCGGUUUAUACCUAGGAUGUUGGCAUAAUGAUCUUAAGUCGCCCGUCUU
rnacentral:rRNA from 1 species